GAACGAUCAUAAACAAUCAUUUUGUUUACUUGUUUUUGACAGAAGUUAAAUAUGAUUUACCCAAAAAGUUAACAUCCAUAUGAAGUGACCCCAUAUAUGUAAAUACUUUCCAUUUAUAUUAUAGUUCCAUCCAUCUAUCUAUUUUCUACUGCUUUUCCCUUCCGUGUCGUGGGGGGUGCUGGAGCCUAUCCCAACUGCGCUAGGGCGGAAGGCGGGGUACACCCUGGACAAGUCAACACAGAUCGACAGACUACAUUCACACACUCGCGUCAAUUUAGUGUUGCCAAUCAACCUAUCCCCAGUUUGUGAUACAAAAUUUAUUUUUUCAUUAACAGGAUGGACAAAAAGAAAAUGACAACAUAAGAGGUUAAGAGUUCCCACAAAGAAAAUGAAGGACCUGCAUAAUUCUCCUCCCCCAAAUGAGUAAUCUGGGUGUUUGGCCUUCGUCAGAUGGGAGGACGGUUAUACCGGCAAAAUCUUUACUGGAGCAGACAUUUUGUCAAGAGAUGAAGCUCCUGUGCAGAUCUUAGAUCUUAGAACAGGAGAUUCUGUUUUAGCAAAGUGGUCAGAUGGUAAAUCUUAUAGGGCAACUGUUGAAUAUAUUUCAGGAAAAGUGACGGGGGACUUGUAACAGGCAGCAACACUGUUGGACCACCACCACCACCCUAUGGGAGAGAUGCAGGCAACCCAUCUGUCGAGGACACUAUCUCAUAUCGACCGCAGGCAGAAAAAUCAUGGACGCCAUGUGAUGGAUGUUGGGAGGAGUUCGAAAAAAUCCUGCGAGAAAAGCAACAAAUCGAAGAAGUCCUCUUGAAAAUAGGCAAGUAAUUAAUGCUAAUUUAUUCAUGAUGUAAUUAUUUUGUUUACGUAAAUUUGUUAUUUGGCCUUGAACACAUUAUUUUCUCAUUCGGGUAU